CAGAAUUGUAUUGAAUAGAAAAAUGGCUAAUACUUAAGAAAUACAAGAUGAAUUGAUUAUGUUCAAAAAGGGAAUUUAGUGAACGUUCGUACUAUUCUGCCAAGAGGUAUACUCGUUGUCAUUAACAUCUUGGGAUUCAUUGUACAUAUAUAUUGUUGUUCACAUAUUACUGUUGGUUCGUGAUCAUUACAUAUACAUAUAGAUAGAGGCAGAAUGGGGUAUUUGCGUAGCAAUGGACAAGUGACGGGUGUGGACACAUUGUGGUCUAAUUAGGAUAAUUCGAGUCGGUUUAUGCUUCUAGUUUGGCAUAUGAGUUGUUAGGAAUACCCAUAUGAAAUCAUGAUCCAUUGGUUGUAGUAUGCUCGUUUGUGAUGGAAGUCUCAUGUUUCUUUGUGGUAUCUCGUCGUAUUCACUCACUCUAAGUACAUCACAGGGGCGCAGUCAUGGAGAGUAUGGAGUGCAUGCAGACAUCACAGACUAAAGUUAUUUUCGAAAGUACUUGUCUAUCUUCGUAAAACAAAUUGCAUUGUAUUGUUUUCUCUAUUUUUGGAAUACUGUAUCGAUUGGACA